rnacentral:rRNA from 1 species
UCGAGAAUUUUUCUCAAUGGGGGAAACCCUGAAGGAGCGACGCCGCGUGGGGGAUGAAUGGCUUCGGCCCGUAAACCCCUGUCAUUCGGGAUCAAACGUUGUCCAUGAAUAAUGGGCAGCCUGAUUGUACCGGAAGAGGAAGGGACGGCUAACUCUGUGCCAGCAGCCGCGGUAAUACAGAGGUCCCGAGCGUUGUUCGGAUUUACUGGGCGUAAAGGGUGCGUAGGCGGUGGGGUAAGUUUGAGGUGAAAGCUCCGGGCUCAACCCGGAAACUGCCUUGAAAACUAUCCGGCUAGAGGGUUGGAGGGGAGACUGGAAUUCUCGGUGUAACAGUGAAAUGCGUAGAUCUCGAGAGGAACACCAGUGGCGAAGGCGGGUCUCUGGACAACACCUGACGCUGAGGCACGAAAGCCAGGGGAGCAAACGG